rnacentral:rRNA from 1 species
CCUACGGGUGGCAGCAGUGGGGAAUAUUGCACAAUGGGGGAAACCCUGAUGCAGCGACGCCGCGUGAGUGAAGAAGUAAUUCGUUACGUAAAGCUCUAUCAGCAGGGAAGAAAAUGACGGUACCUGAGUAAGAAGCCCCGGCGAACUACGUGCCAGCAGCCGCGGUAAUACGUAGGGGGCAAGCGUUCUCCGGAUUUACUGGGUGUACCGGGAGCGUAGACGGGGCGCCAAGUCUGGAGUGAAAUGCCGCCGCUUAACUGCGGAACGGCUUUUGAAACUGGCGAACUAGCGUGCGGGUGUGGUAGGCUGACUUCCUGUUGUCGCGGUUAAAUGCGUAGAUCUUAGGCG